rfam:Aedes albopictus isolate Foshan contig41291, whole genome shotgun sequence.
UCGAAAGUUCCAUGCUUCCUUGCAUUCAAUAGUGAUUUUGAAACCGUAUGGAAUGUAAAGAAGUAUGGAGCGCUCGG